CAGCCUGCUGGUCCCUGCAGGGCUGGGGUGGGGCCGGCACUUUCGGGCCCCCAGCUGUGAACGUGAGGGGUCUGCCCCACGGGUUGCAGGGCUGGGGGCCUUGCUCAGGUCAAGAAGUGGCUGUGGUGAACAGAGAGUCUCUCGUCUGAGCGUGUGGCCCGUGGGCCGUGUGGCAGCCUCAGACAAGGACCUCACCCCCGCCUGUGCUCCGGGAAAGCACGGAGGGUAGCAGGGCCCCUGGGGUGGGCACUGAGGGGGCGGGUUCCAUCCCCCCAGGACUUCUCCUACGAUGAGUCCAAAGUGGAGUUUGACGUGGACGCGCCCAGUGGGGUGGUGAUGGAGGGCUACCUCUUCAAGAGGGCCAGCAACGCUUUCAAGACGUGGAACCGGCGCUGGUUCUCCAUUCAGAACAGCCAGCUGGUCUACCAGAAGAAGCUCAAGGAUGCCCUCACCGUGGUGGUGGAUGACCUCCGCCUGUGCUCUGUGAAGCCGUGUGAGGACAUCGAGCGGAGGUUCUGCUUCGAGGUGCUGUCACCCACCAAGUGAGGAGGCCCAGCCCAGGGUGGGGUGGGGGGCGUACCUGCCCACCGGAGCUGACGCCCGCCCCUCCACUGCCUGCAGGAGCUGCAUGCUGCAGGCUGACUCCGAGAAGCUGCGGCAAGCCUGGGUCCAGGCUGUGCAGGCCAGCAUCGCCUCCGCCUACCGCGAGAGCCCUGACAGUUGCUAUAGCGAGAGGCUGGACCGCACAGCAUCCCCGUCCACGAGCAGCAUCGACUCCGCCACCGACACUCGGGAGCGCGGCGUGAAGGGCGAGAG
rnacentral:sRNA from 1 species